AGCAGUUUCAUAUAGCACCGAACAAAUAUUCAUUGUUUUUUUUUUUUUUUUUGAGACGGAGUUUCGCUCUUGUCACCCAGGCUGGAGCAUAUAACUGAAGGGAAAUAUACCAAAUGACGCAGUGGUUGUGAGGGGAUAAGAUUAUAGAUAAGGCCUUUUUACAUCUUUUUUUUUUCCUCUUAACUUUUUAUAUUAUCUGCUCAGGUUUUAAACACUUAAAACUAUUCAU
rnacentral:lncRNA from 1 species